rnacentral:rRNA from 1 species
AUUGAACGCUGGCGGCAGGCUUAACACAUGCAAGUCGAGCGGGAUGAUGGUGCUUGCACUAUCACUUAGCGGCGGACGGGUGAGUAAUGCUUAGGAAUCUGCCUAUUAGUGGGGGACAACAUCUCGAAAGGGAUGCUAAUACCGCAUACGUCCUACGGGAGAAAGCAGGGGAUCACUUGUGACCUUGCGCUAAUAGAUGAGCCUAAGUCGGAUUAGCUAGUUGGUGGGGUAAAGGCCUACCAAGGCGACGAUCUGUAGCGGGUCUGAGAGGAUGAUCCGCCACACUGGGACUGAGGCACGGCCCAGACUCCUACGGGAGGGAGCAGUGGGGAAUAUUGGACAAUGGGGGGAACCCUGAUCCAGCCAUGCCGCGUGUGUGAAGAAGGCCUUAUGGUUGUAAAGCACUUUAAGCGAGGAGGAGGCUCUUUUGGUUAAUACCCAAGAUGAGUGGACGUUACUCGCAGAAUAAGCACCGGCUAACUCUGUGCCAGCAGCCGCCGUAA